rnacentral:rRNA from 1 species
GAUGAACGCUCGCGGCAGGCCUAAUACAUGCAAGUCGAACGGGAUCCAGAUCAAAGCUUGCUUUGGUCUGGUGAGAGUGGCGCACGGGUGCGUAACGCGUGAGCAACCUACCCUUGUCAGGGGGAUAGCCCGGCGAAAGUCGGAUUAUUACCGCAUGACAUCAUUGAGAGGCAUCUUUCGAUGAUCAAAGAUUUAUCGGACAAGGAUGGGCUCGCGUGACAUUAGCUAGUUGGUAAGGUAACGGCUUACCAAGGUUGCGAUGUCUAGGGGCUCUGAGAGGAGAAUCCCCCACACUGGUACUGAGACACGGACCAGACUCCUACGGGAGGCAGCAGUAAGGAAUAUUGGUCAAUGGACGGAAGUCUGAACCAGCCAUGCCGCGUGCAGGAAGACGGCCCUAUGGGUUGUAAACUGCUUUUAUACGGGAACAAACGUCGGUACGUGUACCGGUCUGAGUGUACCGUAAGAAUAAGGAGCGGCUAACUCCGUG